rnacentral:rRNA from 1 species
AGGAUCCUACGGGGGGCAGCAGUGGGGGAUAUUGGACAAUGGGGGAAACCCUGAUCCAGCGACGCCGCGUGAGUGAAGAAGUAUUUCGGUAUGUAAAGCUCUAUCAGCAGGGAAGAAAGAAAUGACGGUACCUGAGUAAGAAGCCCCGGCUAACUACGUGCCAGCAGCCGCGGUAAUACGUAGGGGGCAAGCGUUAUCCGGAUUUACUGGGUGUAAAGGGUGCGUAGGCGGGUAAGCAAGUCAGAAGUGAAAUCCAUGGGCUUAACCCAUGAACUGCUUUUGAAACUGUUUAUCUUGAGUGAAGG